AGUAUGAAGGGCUUAACGAGAGGAUAACUAUCUAUUAUUUAAUAAAUGAAAUUAACCUAUUAGUUAAAAGGCUAAUAUAAUCUAAAAAGACGAGAAGACCCUAAAGAGCUUAGCAGAAAGGUUUAAUAAAAGAAACUUAACCUCUUAUUAUUAAAUUCUUCUGCUUAAUUGGGGUGAUUAAAAGAUAAAUAAAACUCUUUUUAAUUAACUACUUUUUAUAAGGUAUAAAUGAUCCGGCCUGCCGAUUAUAAGAAAAAGUUACCUUAGGGAUAACAGCGUAAUGCUUAUUAAGAGCCCAUAUCGACAUAAGUGUUUGCGACCU
rnacentral:rRNA from 1 species